rnacentral:rRNA from 1 species
UGGGGAAUAUUGGACAAUGGGGGAAACCCUGAUCCAGCAAUGCCGCGUGUGUGAAGAAGGCCUGCGGGUUGUAAAGCACUUUCAAUGGGAAGGCGCAACCCAUAGAAGAGGCACCGGCUAACUCCGUGCCAGCAGCCGCGGUAAUACGAAGGGUGCAAGCGUUAAUCGGAAUUACUGGGCGUAAAGGGUGCGUAGGCGGCUUGCUAAGCCGGAUGUAAAGCCCUGGGCUCAACCUGGGAAUGGCAUCCGGGACUGGCAGGCUGGAGUGCGGUAGAGGGUGGUGGAAUUCCCGGUGUAGCGGUGAAAUGCGUAGAGAUCGGGAGGAACAUCGAUGGCGAAGGCAGCCACCUGGACCAGCACUGACGCUGAGGCACGAAAGCGUGGGGAGCAAACAGGAUUAGAUACCCUUGUAGU